rnacentral:rRNA from 1 species
AGCGAACGCUGGCGGCAGGCUUAACACAUGCAAGUCGAGCGGGCAUCUUCGGAUGUCAGCGGCAGACGGGUGAGUAACACGUGGGAACGUACCCUUCGGUUCGGAACAACUCUGGGAAACUGGAGCUAAUACCGGAUACGCCCUUAUGGGGAAAGGUUUACUGCCGAAGGAUCGGCCCGCGUCUGAUUAGCUAGUUGGUGGGGUAACGGCCUACCAAGGCGACGAUCAGUAGCUGGUCUGAGAGGAUGAUCAGCCACACUGGGACUGAGACACGGCCCAGACUCCUACGGGAGGCAGCAGUGGGGAAUAUUGGACAAUGGGCGCAAGCCUGAUCCAGCCAUGCCGCGUGAGUGAUGAAGGCCUUAGGGUUGUAAAGCUCUUCUGUCCGGGACGAUAAUGACGGUACCGGAAGAAUAAGCCCCGGCUAACUUCGU